AUUUGGCUGUGUCCCCACCCAAAAUCUCAUCUUAAAUUGCAAUCCCCACCUGUCAAGGGACAGACCAGGUGGAGGUAAUUGAAUCAAGGGGCGGUUUCCCCCAUGCUGUUCUCAUGAUAGUGAGUGAGUUCUCAUGAGAUCUGAUGGUUUUAUAAGUGUUGCUAGUUCCUCCUGCAGUCAUUCUCUCUCCUGCCGCCUUGUGAAGAAGGUGCCUGCCUCCCCUUCACCUUCUGCCAUGAUCGUUAAGUUUCCUGAGGCCUUCCCAGCCAUACAGAACUAAACAAGCCAGAAGGCAAGAUCAGGCUUGCCAUUCUUCUGAGAAGGACCCCAGAAUCUCACCUCUCCAGAUGGCCUAAGCACUAUUCACAAGCACAAAGACAUGGAAUCAACCUAAAUGCCCAUCAGUGGAAGACUGAAUAAUGGAAAUCUGGUACAUAUACGCCACGGAAUACUAGGCAGCCAUAAAAAAGAAAGGCAUCCCACAUUUUGAGUAAUAUGGAUGGAGCUGGAGACCAUUAUCCUUAGCAAACUAAUGGAAGAACAGGAAACCAAAUACUGUAUGUUCUCACUUAUAAGUGGAUGCUAAAUGAUGAGAACACAUGGGCAUUUAAAGGGGAACAACACACACUGGGGCCUAUUGGAGGGUGGAGAGUGGGAGGAGGGAGAGGGUCAGGAAAAAUAACUAAUGAAUACUAGGCUUAAUACCUGGGUGAUGAAAUAAUCUGUACAACUAACUCCUGUGACACAUGUUUACCUAUAUAACCAACCGGC
rnacentral:lncRNA from 10 species